rnacentral:rRNA from 1 species
AGUUUGAUCCUGGCUCAGGAUGAACGCUGGCGGUCUGCUUAACACAUGCAAGUCGAACGGAGUGCUUCGGCACUUAGUGGCGGACGGGUGAGUAGCGCGUGAGAAUCUGCCCUUAGGACGGGGACAACAGCUGGAAACGGCUGCUAAUACCCGAUGUGCCGAGAGGUGAAACAUUUUAUGGCCUGAGGAUGAGCUCGCGUCUGAUUAGCUAGUUGGUGGGGUAAGAGCCUACCAAGGCGACGAUCAGUAGCUGGUCUGAGAGGAUGAUCAGCCACACUGGGACUGAGACACGGCCCAGACUCCUACGGGAGGCAGCAGUGGGGAAUUUUCCGCAAUGGGCGCAAGCCUGACGGAGCAAGACCGCGUGCGGGAGGACGGCCUAUUGGUUGUAAACCGCUUUUGAUAGAGAAGAAGUACUGACGGUACCUAUCGAAUCAGCAUCGGCUAACUCCGUGCCAGCAGCCGCGGUAAUACGGAGGAUGCAAGCGUUAUCCGGAAUUAUUGGGCGUAAAGCGUCCGUAGGUGGUUGUUCAAGUCUGCUGUUAAAGCGUGCGGCUUAACCGCAUACCAGCAGUGGAAACUGGGCGACUAGAGUGCGGUAGGGGUCAGGGGAAUUCCCAGUGUAGCGGUGAAAUGCGUAGAUAUUGGGAAGAACACCGGUGGCGAAAGCGCCUGACUGGACCUGCACUGACACUGAGGGACGAAAGCUAGGGGAGCGAAAGGGAUUAGAUACCCCUGUAGUCCUAGCCGUAAACGAUGGACACUAGGUGUUGCCCGUAUCGACCCGGGCAGUGCCGUAGCCAACGCGUUAAGUGUCCCGCCUGGGGAGUACGCUCGCAGAGUGAAACUCAAAGGAAUUGA